rnacentral:rRNA from 1 species
UACGUAGGUCCCGAGCGUUGUCCGGAUUUAUUGGGCGUAAAGCGAGCGCAGGUGGUUUAUUAAGUCUGGUGUAAAAGGCAGUGGCUCAACCAUUGUAUGCAUUGGAAACUGGUAGACUUGAGUGCAGGAGAGGAGAGUGGAAUUCCAUGUGUAGCGGCGAAAUGCGUAGAUAUAUGGAGGAACACCGGUGGCGAAAGCGGCUCUCUGGCCUGUAACUGACACUGAGGCUCGAAAGCGUGAGGAGCAAACAGG